AUUGCCCUAGUAACGGCGAGUGAAGCGGCAACAGCUCAAAUUUGAAAUCUGGCUUCGGCCCGAGUUGUAAUUUGUAGAGGAAGCUUUUGGUGAGGCACCUUCUGAGUCCCCUGGAACGGGGCGCCAUAGAGGGUGAGAGCCCCGUAUAGUCGGAUGCCGAUCCAAUGUAAAGCUCCUUCGACGAGUCGAGUAGUUUGGGAAUGCUGCUCAAAAUGGGAGGUAAAUUUCUUCUAAAGCUAAAUACCGGCCAGAGACCGAUAGCGCACAAGUAGAGUGAUCGAAAGAUGAAAAGCACUUUGAAAAGAGGGUUAAAUAGCACGUGAAAUUGUUGAAAGGGAAGCGUUUGUGACCAGACUUGCGCCGUUCCGAUCAUCCGGUGUUCUCACCGGUGCACUCGGGACGGCUCAGGCCAGCAUCGGUUUUGGCGGGGGGAUAAAGGUUCGGGGAACGUAGCUCCUCCGGGAGUGUUAUAGCCCCGGGCGUAAUGCCCUCGCCGGGACCGAGGUUCGCGCAUCUGCAAGGAUGCUGGCGUAAUGGUCAUCAACGACCCGUCUUGAAACACGGACCAAGGAGUCAAGGUUUUGCGCGAGUGUUUGGGUGUAAAACCCGCACGCGUAAUGAAAGUGAACGUAGGUGAGAGCUUCGGCGCAUCAUCGACCGAUCCUGAUGUAUUCGGAUGGAUUUGAGUAAGAGCGUUAAGCCUUGGACCCGAAAGAUGGUGAACUAUGCUUGGAUAGGGUGAAGCCAGAGGAAACUCUGGUGGAGGCUCGCAGCGGUUCUGACGUGCAAAUCGAUCGUCAAAUCUGAGCAUGGGGGCGAAAGACUAAUCGA
rnacentral:rRNA from 1 species